GGCAGCCGCGGUAAUUCCAGCUCCAAUAGCGUAUAUUAAAGUUGUUGCAGUUAAAAAGCUCGUAGUUGAAUUUCGGGGUCAGUAGGUUGGUCGUGCCACCGGUACGUACUGGUCUCACUGAUUCCUCCUUCCUGAUGAGCUGUAAUGCCAUUAAUUUGGUGUUGCAGGGAAUCUGGACUAUUACUUUGAAAAAUUAGAGUGUUUAAAGCAGGCUAACGCUUGAAUACAUUAGCAUGGAAUAAUGAAAUAGGACGUUUGAUUCUAUUUUGUUGGUUUCUAGGAUCGACGUAAUGAUUAAUAGGGAUAGUUGGGGGCAUUAGUAUUCAAUUGUCAGAGGUGAAAUUCUUGGAUUUAUUGAAGACUAACUACUGCGAAAGCAUUUGCCAAGGAUGUUUUCAUUAAUCAAGAACGAAAGUUAGGGGAUCGAAGACGAUCAGAUACCGUCGUAGUCUUAACCAUAAACUAUGCCGACUAGGGAUCGGAUGAUGUUUAAUUUUUUAAUGUACUCA
rnacentral:rRNA from 1 species